rnacentral:lncRNA from 1 species
UGAUUAUAUAUAUCAGUUAUACUCUCAUGUAAUAUGAGUUGUAAUUUAAGCAAUAGUCUCAUGCAUUAAAAAAAACCUUAUUAAUUAAUUAUUGAUAUUAUAACCUGCAUAUCUCACCCAAGAUUCCGUAGUAAAAGUAAAAGUUCAAAUAAUAAUAAUAAUAAAUAAAACAUAACAAUAAACAAACAACAAUCAGGGGGUGAUGAAACGCAACGCAGCGUUUCAGCAAAACCUAUCAUCGGCAUUGGUCGAGUUAGCCGCCGGUGGGAUUUCAAAGUGCCAGAUCCUCCCCACGGCGUCCUUCAAGUACUUUCUACACAAGAACUCCUCGGCGAAGGCCUUCUCCACUCUCCGAUCAACAUCGUGCAGGUACACGUGCGUCACACCGGAUCCUCUCCUCCGCCUGGCCAUAACCGCCGCCGAGAAUAUUGCUGCCAUCCGCCCCGGCGCCCGCGGGAAGUACCCGCGCGGAGCGUCGAUCAUGAUGAUGUCCCACUGCUGGUCGUAGACCUCGUCGGGGAGGCCGGUCAAGGCGAGCUUGCAGCCAACAUUGCCACGUAGGAAGGCUUUGGAGGGGGAGCAAAGGGGUUCUUUUUUGUAGGAGGAGAGGAGGGCGUCGGCUUCCGAGAGCUGAGUGCGGUACUGGACGGCGUGGGCAUUGAGUGUAGGGGCGUCCUUGAGGACGGACUGGACCCACUUGGGAUCCUCCUCGAGGAAUAGCGUGGUGCCACGUGGAUUGAAGGAGUUCCACAUGAGGGAGUCGUAUCCGAGGCCGAAGACGAGGAAGUUGCAAGGGGAUAUUUCUUUGAGGACGUUGAAGGACACGGUUAUUUCGGCAAGCGAUUGCUGGGGGACGAUUUUUGAGGUGGCAUAGUGUAGAAUGGCGCGGAGUUGGAUCGGCGUGGUGGUGUACUCGGCUACGUCUCGGGCUUUGGAGCUGGCCAGCGAACAGAAGAACGAGUUCUCGGCUGACCGGAUUAACGUCGAAAUCACUAGCGCUGCGGCGAUUAGUCCGGCGAUUGCGACCACCAGGAGUUUCUUUUUCUCCGGUUGAAACUGAGGGCUCUUCGUCAUUUCAAUUUGUGUCCUUUUUUUUUUUUGGAAAGAAAAUAAUAAUCGAGAUUAACUGCUGUACCGUACAUCCGCCUUGGCCGUACAGCAGGUAAAAGUUCAAAUAAUAAUAAUAAUAAAUAAAACAUAACAAUAAACAAACAACAAUCAGGGGGUGAUGAAACGCAACGCAGCGUUUCAGCAAAACCUAUCAUCGGCAUUGGUCGAGUUAGCCGCCGGUGGGAUUUCAAAGUGCCA